rnacentral:lncRNA from 13 species
GUUGCUACUCUUGCCCUGAGAGGAAGGAAGGAAGACUACGAGUGGCAGCAAGAGGCCAGAAAAUGACCAGGUCUCCAGCCUGC